rnacentral:lncRNA from 1 species
AUUUAUCAUUUCUUCUUCGUUAUGGAGAAUGACUAACGUUAGUUCUGAAAACGAACGAUUCUCCCUCUCAUAAUUUUACCCUAUUAAUUCAGGUCACUGAUACUCCACCUGAUGUGGUGUAAGUAGUCGAACCAGAUCAGAACGCCUUUGAAGACCACCUUCAGGCACGGACUGAGAAGGAUGUGGAGGUUUUUGACCAGAUUCAGUCAACAGAUGCUGAGGGGGAUAAUCCGGUGCAGCAGAGGCGUGCAGCUUCCACAGUACAGCAAGUUAUGUGGCUGUGAGAACCUCCGUGACAGUGGCUGAGGUCCACAGCUGCCUGACCACCACACAGGCAGUGUUGAACAAACACAAGAGCAGACCUGGUCUCAAGCUGAAUGCUUGUCUUGCCAACACAGACACCUAUGAGGGUGUAAGUCUGACAGCCAGAGAUGACAGCACCCUGGCUCAUGUGACAUCAUCCAUGUGCAAACUCAUUGACCAGCAGUGCCAAAGGAUGGACAAGAGAUUUGGUGACAAAACUGGUCGAUCUGCAAAAUGGACUUGUUGCAGAAAACUCUGAAAAUUUUGGAGAUUCAGAGGUUGAUGAUCUAACAAGGCACUUUGAGCCAGCGUUGAUGUGGAUCUGAUCCCAGACCAGUAAACCAUCCUGAAGGCCAGGCUCUACCAGGACCCAAAGAGCGGCGUGGAGUAGAUGUCCUGGCCCAAGUUCCACAGGAUCCUCAAACACCCGUGCCCUGACCUUCUUCAGC